rnacentral:rRNA from 1 species
GAAGAGCUCAAAUUUAUAAUCUGGCACCUUCGGUGUCCGAGUUGUAAUCUCUAGAAGUGUUUUCCGCGUUGGACCGCACACAAGUCUGUUGGAAUACAGCGGCAUAGUGGUGAAACCCCCGUAUAUGGUGCGGACGCCCAGCGCUUUGUGAUACACUUUCAAUGAGUCGAGUUGUUUGGGAAUGCAGCUCAAAUUGGGUGGUAAAUUCCAUCUAAAGCUAAAUAUUGGCGAGAGACCGAUAGCGAACAAGUACCGUGAGGGAAAGAUGAAAAGCACUUUGGAAAGAGAGUUAACAGUACGUGAAAUUGUUGGAAGGGAAACGCUUGAAGUCAGACUUGCUUGCCGGAGCUUGCUUCGGUUUGCAGGCCAGCAUCAGUUUUCCGGGGUGGAUAAUGACGGUUUGAAGGUAGCAGUCUCGGCUGUGUUAUAGCUUUCCGUUGGAUACGCCCUGGGGGACUGAGGAACGCAGCGUGCUUUUUGCGAAAGACUCGUCUUUUUCACGCUUAGGAUGCUGGUGGAAUGGCUUUAAACGACCCGUCUUGAAACACGGACCAAGGAGUCUAACAUGCUCGCGAGUAUUUGGGUGUCAAACCCGGAUGCGCAAUGAAAGUGAAUGUAGGUGGGAACCGCAAGGUGCACCAUCGACCGAUCUGGAUUUUUUAAGAUGGAUUUGAGUAAGAGCGCGUAUGUUGGGACCCGAAAGAUGGUGAACUAUGCCUGAAUAGGGCGAAGCCAGAGGAAACUCUGGUGGAGGCUCGUAGCGGUUCUGACGUGCAAAUCGAUCGUCAAAUUUGGGUAUAGGGGCGAAAGACUAAUCGAACCAUCUAGUAGCUGGUUUCAUGCCGAGUCUCC